AGUGAACGCUGGCGGUAGGCCUAACACAUGCAAGUCGAACGGCAGCACAGUAAGAGCUUGCUCUUACGGGUGGCGAGUGGCGGACGGGUGAGGAAUACAUCGGAAUCUACUUUUUCGUGGGGGAGAACGUAGGGAAACUUACGCUAAUACCGCAUACGACCUACGGGUGAAAGCAGGGGAUCUUCGGACCUUGCGCGAUUGAAUGAGCCGAUGUCGGAUUAGCUAGUUGGCGGGGUAAAGGCCCACCAAGGCGACGAACCGUAGCUGGUCUGAGAGGAUGAUCAGCCACACUGGAACUGAGACACGGUCCAGACUCCUACGGGAGGCAGCAGUGGGGAAUAUUGGACAAUGGGCGCAAGCCUGAUCCAGCCAUACCGCGUGGGUGAAGAAGGCCUUCGGGUUGUAAAGCCCUUUUGUUGGGAAAGAAAAGCAGCAGGUUAAUACCCCGCUGUUCUGACGGUACCCAAAGAAUAAGCACCGGCUAACUUCGUG
rnacentral:rRNA from 1 species